rnacentral:lncRNA from 1 species
CACAGGGCGAGGGGGACCCAGAGCUCCUUCUUUAUCUGCACUUGGUUUGUACUUAGGGGAUGUGGGUAAAACCCACGUCACUUAGAGCAAACUGUUAGGUGGGUUGCAACACCUACGUGCUUACAUUACAAACACUUGUAACCCCAACAUUUGAGAAAUGGGGGCAGUCAACCUCUACUCCAUAGCACGCUCCAGGCCAGCCUGGGCUACCUGAUGCCCUGUCUCCAAAGACAAAACCAAACCAAAAGCUAAGUAAAAUAAAAUUUCAAAAUAGCAACCCAUGACAAUGCAGGCUCACUCACCCUGUGUUUGCUGAAGCCUCAUUAUAGUGAGAUAACCUGAAAUCUGGUUGCAUCCUAAAGAUUAGAGCUACAUAAUUCAUGGGGAUUACCGCAGUCUGAUGGCUGGCCUCUCCCCACGCGUGCUCGAGGACAGCGCGGGGACAUAUAUUCCAUUUCACACCCUACCUGCACAGGCACUGUGGUCAUUUUCUGUGUGGACUAAAUGGUAUAGAUCUGUUAGUGUGUCAGGAGCAAUAGGCAGUAGUCAAAAAAUCGUGCUAUUUAAAUCUUUUCUAUGUGUAAUGCUUAUGGCAUGAAGACUUUUGUAUUGAAUCGAGAUUUGUAUAUCUGACAGGUUCUAAAAUGCCAUAGUGAUUGUUCUUCAGCACCACGAAGAAAAUUCGAAGUUAAUUUUUUAAUUUACAGAAAAGUUCUCUUUUUAUCUUCAGAAUUGUCUCAUGGUCUAUUUAUACAUUGGAUGAUAUUUAUUUAAUCCAGUUUUGUAUUAGAAAUUGAUAGCUAUGCCAAAAGCCACUGUGCUGGCUUUCAAAAACAAUAAAAAUAGUUUUUGUAUUAUUUUGA